rnacentral:lncRNA from 1 species
AAACAAUUAAGCUGAUUACCCUUCGUGUAGAAGCUUGUAGCAGGAAGAGAGUGAUGUAAACGCAUUCCUAAGCGAAAAUUUUAGCAUGGUUACAAAGCAGGGACAUUUGGGGGCCGGUUUUGGUCAGUCUAAAUAUUGUAAGACAACCAAAAAUUAUUCUACAGGAUGUAGGUGUGUCUAUAUUGAGAAAUGUCAAUUUCUUAAUAAAACUCUAUUAUAUUGAGUCUUGGCAGCUUGCCUAUGUGGCUGUGUGUAUGUGUGUGUUGGGGUGGGGGAGGGGUGGAGCUUCCUACAGAAAAAUGAUACCAAGUCCAGGCAUUGUUGACAUUAAACCGCAGCUGCGUUGUUGGAGGGAGAAAAGGAAUUAAAGUUCACUUCAGGUUCGCAGAGCAAACAGUGCCAGCCUGCAGCCUCUGUCCUCUUUGGGGACAAGGGCAUGUGACUGUCAUUUCAGAGUCAGAAAGAGUCUGAAAUUAGAGGAAAGGUGCUAACUUGUGACAACUAUAGACAUUUUCAGUGUGAAGUGUUUGACUGUAUUCCUUCCUCUGUAAGUAAUGGUUCUAGGAAAGUGCUGCUUUCUAGAAAUUAUAUCUAUCAUCAGAAUCUACAAACACAUGAAAUAUCAUGAAAUGUGAUGUCUUAGUUCCGUACAAAUGGCAGAAUCGGCCUGAAUGACACAGAAAUUGACAAAGCAAGGCUCAGCUUUUUUUCUCUUGUAACUUUGCAUAGUAUUCUCAGCGUCUUCCUGUUUUGUGAAAAGAUCUCUUACCAGUUUACAAUGCAACUGACCUGUACUUUACUGUGCUUCUCAAUGCUCUUCCAGCUUAACUCUAUGUUGAAGCAUAAACUAUCUGGUCAGGGGAUAAUUUCAAGGUUUUAAUAAAAAUAAUGCUUUGACU